CGAAGUCACACGUCAGAGUCUACUGCCCUCAUGCAAUGGAAAGUGAGCCAGAGCGUCGAGACUCUGAGCAUUGUUGAUGCCACGCAAAAGCCGUCCAUCUGGGAGCUGAGGAGACGCUGCUGUCAGUGAGAUAAGUGUCUGGUUUGGUGAGCGCUCUGCUCACGCCCAACCUGAGUCGAGGUAGGGAAGUGCAGUACGGUAGGGCUGGGUUUGUAUGAAAAGGUUUCUGACUAGCUGUGGUCACGAGGGAGAAAAGGUCCCUAUUUUCAGAGCUUGCUCAUUUUUCUGGUCAGGAACAAUGUCUCCUCCGCAGCGGAAGGUUGGAUCCAGGAGGAUGACUCAGGUGGUGAGUUGCUUGUUUUCCUCCCAUAUUUUUUUUCCUCUUUCUCUCUCUCUCUCUUCUCUAGUGUGUUGGCCAACUUUCUCACUCUCUUUCCUCUCCUCUCCUCGUGCCGUCUCCCUUCGUAAGACACGUGCAGGUGUGCUAAGUGUGCAUCCCUACAGGCUAGGUCUCAGGAUCCAUGGAGAAAUAAGAGCUAACGAAAAUCAUACGUAGCAGUGGCUGUCGGUGUUAACUCGGUCUCUGUUGGUCGAGUGGGGCCGAGGUAGAUGGGAUUGGACAGGGAGGCCAGGAUGAGGGCAAAAUUUGAAGCACCAAUAGAGCUUUGUGUAGUGAUGGCUCAUGCUUGGCAUUUGCAGCUACGCUUCCAGAGGAAUUUUCCGGGAGCCCUAGACAGAGGAGAAAGUGGCAGAAGUGGACAUGAGCAGACUGGACAUCCUUGUAAGCAGACAUGAACAGUUGUCAGCUUUCUGACUCCCGCAUAACUGACUUACGGAGGGAAAAGAAAUCAAACAUCAGAGAUUACUCCCCACGUUGGAUGGAAAGCGAGUGAGAGCAGCAAGCCCGCAAGCAUUGUUGAUGCAAGUGAGGAGCCGUCCAGUUGGCAGUGGAGCAGUCGCUACUGUCAGCGAGAUAAGUGUCUGGUUUGGCUCUGCGUAGGGCCCCACUGGCUCCAAGUAGGGAUGCCCCGUUAGCUGGGGCUGGGUUUGUAAGAAAUGGUUCCUAACCAGCUGUGGUUACGAGAGAAACAAGGUCCCCAUUUUCAGGGGCUGCUCAUUUCUCUGGUCAGGAACGGUGUCUCCUCCACAGCAGAAGGUUGGAACCAGGAGGAUGACUCCAGGUGGUCAGUUACUUGCUUUCCUCCAUUUUUUUCUCUCUCUCUUUCUCGCUCCUGUAGUGUGUUGGCCAACUUUCUCAUUCUCUUUCGUCUCCUGUCCUCGUGCCGUCUCCCUUCGUAGGACAUGGGCAGGCCUGCUAGGUGUGCAUCCCCAAGGACCAUGUCUCAGGAGCCAUGGAGAAGUAGGAGGGGACAAAAAUCAUGCAGGGCUGUGACUGUCGGUGUUAACUCAGUCUCUGUUCUUCAAGUGGGGCUGAUGUAGAUGGGAUUGGAGAGGGAGGCCAGGAUGAGGGCAAGAUUUGAAGCAACAAAUAGAGCUUUAAGUAGUGAUGGCUCAUGCUUGGCUUUUGCAGAUGCGCUUCCAGAGGAAUUUUCCAAGAGCCCUAUCCUGAGGAGAAAGUGGCAGAAGUGGACAUGAGCAGACUGGACAUCCUUGUCAGCCGACAUGAACUGUCCUCAGCUUUCUGACUCCCGCAUAACUGGCUGACCGAGGAAAAAGAAGUCAUGCGUCAGAGUCUCAAGCCCUCAUGCAAUGUAAAGCGAGCCAGAGCGAUGAGACAGCGAACAUUGUUGAUGCCACGCAAAGGCCAUCGAAGUGGGAGGGAAACGGCCGCCACUCUUACUUAGAUAAGUAUCUGUUUUGGUGAUUGUUCUGCUCACGGCCCACCUUCCUCCUGGUAGGGAUGCCCCGUUCUCUGGGGCUAGCUUUGUAAGAAAAUGUUCCUGUCUAGCUGUGGUUAUGAGGGGGACGAGGUCCCCAUUUUCAGGGGCUGCUCAUUUCUCUGGCCGGGACCGGUGUGUCCUCCACAGCAGAAGUUUGCAUCUAGGAGGAUGACUCCUGGUGGUGAGUUCCUUGCCUUCCUCCCAUGUCUCUCGCUCUCUCUCUUCUCUAGUGUGUUGGUCAACUUUCUCACUGUCUCUCCUCUCCUUUACUCUCCUUGUGCCAUCUUCCUUCGUAGGACAUGGGCAGGUGUGCAUCCCUACAUGCCAGGUUUUGGGAGUCGCGGACAAAAAUCAUGCUGGGCAGUGGGUGCGAGAGUGGAGUGGUGACUGUCGGUGUUAACUCGGUCUCUGUUCAUUGAACGGGGUCGAUCUAGAUGGGACUAGAGAGGGAGGCAGGGAUGAGGGCAAGAUUUCCAUCACCAAUAGAGCUCUGUGUAGUGAUAGUUCUUGUUUGGCUUUAUUAGUUUGCAGAGGAAUCGUCCAGGAACCCUAGCCGGACAAGAAUAUGGCGGAAGUGGACCUGAGCAGCCUGGACAUCCUUCUAAGGAGACAUGAAUAGUCCUCAUGUUUCUGCCUUCUGCAUCGCUGGCUGUGAGUAAGUGGUCAAUGGUCUGAAUUCCUCAUCUGUGCUCGCUGUAAUAUUCUUCACAGGCCGUGUGCUUCCUCGUUAGGUACGGGGCUCUCAGAUAUUACGGAGUCUGCUGGGCAGAGUGAUUAUUUUGGGUGCUGUUGCAAGGGGUGCUUUUUGGUUGUUAUGCUAAAGGUGUAAUGGGAAGACGGUUGAGGCCGGAGGCCAGUCGUGUGGGAGAGAUGAAAAGACGGGCCUACGAGGCCUUGCCUACUGAGAUGGUAACUUGCUUGUUUUUUUCCCCCUUGUGUUGGGUUCAGUACCAAGGAAAAAGAAGUCACGCGUCAGAGUCUACUGCCCUCAUGCGAUGUAAAGUGAGGGAGAGCAGCAAGCCUGUAACUACUGUUGAUGCCAGGCAAGGGCCAUCUAUCUGGGAUCCGAGCAGACGCCUCUCUCCAUGUGAUAAGUGUCUGGUUUGGUGAUUGCUGUGCUCACGGUCCACCUUGGUCCUGCUAGGGAUGCCCUGUUAGCUGGGGCUGGGUUUGUAAGAAAUGGUUACUGACCAGCUGCGCUUAUGAGAGAGACAAGAUCCCCAUUUCUGGGGGCUGCUCAUUUCUCUGGCCAGGAGCGGUGUGUCCUCCGCCGCAGAAGGUUGCAUCUAGGAGGAUGACUCCAGGUGGUGAGUUGCUUGCCUUCCUCCCAUCUUUCUCUUCUCUUGGCCAACACACAGCCCCUCUCUCUCUCUCUGUCCUUCCCUUUCCUUCUGCUGUCUCCCUUCGUAAGACAGUGGUAGACGUGCUAGGUGUGUAUCCCUACAAGCCAGGUCUCGGGCGCCAUGGAGAAGUAAGAGUGGACGAAAAGCAUGCGGGGCAGUGGGCACUAAAGUGGAGCUGUGACUGUCUGUGUUUACUCAGUCUCUGUUCAUCGAAUGGGGCUGAUGUAGAUGGGACUGGAGAGGGAGGCAGGGCUGAGGGCAAGAUUUUCAGCACCAAUAGAGCUCUGUGUAGUGAUAGUUCUUGCUUGGCUUUAUUAGUUUGCAGAGGAAUUGUCCCGGAGCCCUAGCCGGACAAGAAUAUGGCAGAAGUGGACCUGAGCAGCCUGGACAUGCUUCUAAGGAGACGUGAAUAGUUGUCAUGUUUCUGCCUUCUGUAUCACUGGCUGUGAGUAAGAGGUCAGUGCUUUCAAUUCCUCAUCUGUAGUCGUUGUCGUUUUCUUCCGAGACCGUGUGCUCUCUCGUUGGCUCUGAGGCUCUGGGAUUAAGGCAGAGGAAGGGACGAGAGUCUCCUGAGCAAAGUGAGUAUUUUGGGUGCAAUUACAAUGGGUGCCUUCUAGUUGCAGUUGUAACAUAGUAAUGGAUGAUGGGUUGAGGGCGGAGCCGUGGGAUAUGGGAAAUGUGAAAUGAAGAGUCGACGCGACAUUGCAGAUGCUAAUUUUUUUUUGUUUUUUCCCCUCUCUGCUGGGUUUAGUAUCAAGGAAAACGAAGUCACGCGUCAGAGUCUACUGCCCUCAUGCGAUGGAAAGCGAGCCAGAGCGUCGAGACUCUGAACAUUGCUGAUGCCACGCAAAAGCCGUCCAUCUGGGAGCUGAGGAGACGCC